ncrna:unclassified sequences DTF805b RNA
CAGGCAGAACCCGAAAAGCCUUGAACAGAGUAGGGA